rnacentral:rRNA from 1 species
CCAAGCGACUGUUUACCAAAAACAUAGGUUUCUGCUAAGUCGCAAGACGAUGUAUAGGAGCUGACGCCUGCCCGGUGCUGGAAGGUUAAGGGGAUCUGUUAGAGCAAUCGAAGCAGUGAACUUAAGCCUCAGUAAACGGCGGCCGUAACUAUAACGGUCCUAAGGUAGCGAAAUUCCUUGUCGGGUAAGUUCCGACCCGCACGAAAGGCGUAACGAUUUGGGCACUGUCUCAACAACAGACUCGGUGAAAUUGUAAUUCCGGUGAAGAUGCCGGAUACCUGCGACAGGACGGAAAGACCCCAUGGAGCUUUACUGUAGCUUGACAUUGGGUCUUGGUACUACAU